UUGAGGAAACUACUACAGGAUCUCUUAAGUCCUUUCAGCUCCUAAAAUUAGUGACUGGGGUAAAAUAGCACAAAUAAUUCCAUCCCAGCCACAAUAUUAGCCCUGGCAGCCUAUUGCUGCGGUUUUCAUCAGUCUCACCCAGGGUAGUGUCCCCUCACCCUGAAGUGGGGGGAAACCCUGGGACAGCUCCUAAAACCUUCACUUCCUGUUUUUCCUGAGGGCUGGCCCUGGAGAAAAUAUCCCUCUAAAAAAGAGCAAGCACAAAACUCUGGGCAAGUGCAAGGCCUCUGUGGGUCCUGAAGCAGAACUAUCCAGAUCCUCUCAGGGCUUCAAAGACGUCAGUACAACAGACGACUCCGAAAGGCAGAACUCAGCAGCACCAGCCUUCGGGACACACAGUCUCGGCCCCGGGGUGACGCGGCCCCGGGGUGACGCGGCCGGCUCCGGGCUCCUCGGUGUCCCCUGGAAGGAACAGGUGCGUCGGCCUCUUCCGCCUCACCCGCAGCUCGGUGAGGUGAUGGCGUGCAGCUACCUCGCGCCCCACUAGAUCUCGGCCACGAGAAAAGGCUCGGCCCCGAGGAGCUGAAGGGACCUGGAGUCUCCCAGUCCUCCUGCGCCCGGGCGCCCAGUCACCGCCCACGCGAGACCAGGCGCAGCUCCUCCAGGAAGCGCCGCUCCGGCUUCCGCGCCUGCGCAUGCGCCUGUGCCAGCCCAAGAAGCGUCGAGAGAAGGCCGCUAGGGGGCGGGGCGGAGCCUGCGGUCGUGCGCGUGCGCAGCAAGCUCGUGGCUGCCUGGCUGCCUGUUGGCGAGGCCCCUUUGCAGCCCGUGCUGUGGUUUGUGCCUGUCGGCCCGGGGCCGAGUGACUGCUGGGUAGGUGGUGACCCCCACCUCAGGAAGACCUGUUUGUGUGGGAGAAGCCUAGGUUGAGAGACUGGCCACGUUCAGUCGGGAGCCCCACUUCCCCACCUUCAGGACCUGGUUCAGAAGGCCAGGGCCAGGUACAGCCAGUGUCCCGGCAGUCUGAGGAAGAGGAACCGGAUUUGGCCACAUCGAGGAUUCCAGCUGCAUCCCGUGCCUUCCAGAAGUGCAUCUUCUCCCUGUCCUGUCCACCCGUGGCAUAGGGAGGUGGAGGACCAGCAGUAGUCCUGCGUCCUCACGGGGCCGCAGGAGCACCAACACAUCAUAUCCUUGCUUCGCAAACACUGCCGCCUGUUAACUGGCUGCCCGAGAUGGAAUAUCCCAAAAUGUCACAAGGAACCAGAGAAGGGACAUGGAUUGGGUUUCCCUAGUGCCCCGUGGGUUCGAGGUCUAAUCGGGGCUGCCACACAGGGCCAGGCUGAUGGACCGAGUUUCUCCUCCACGUUCCCAGCUCUUAGGAGUGGGAAGAUAAGAGACCCCCAACAUAUCCCACCCAGCAGAUCCUUGGGCUGCCAGCUGGAUCUUCCGUUUCUGGGUGCUGUCCUCUGCCCAGCACUUGAAGUAGCCCAGACUUCCUGGACCUCCACAUUUAAAGCCCGGGUUCCGCGCUUUGAUUGAUGCUUUGAUUGAUCUGCCCUUUCAUCGUCGCUACCACACAAGGAUUCCCCUUCCUGUGAGUGUAAACCCUCCUCUUCCCCGGGAUCCCUCUUCCUCCUACCAACCCUGUCCAGCCAUCUCCCUCCCCAAGCUUGAUCACCUUUUCUGGUGUUCUGGUUGGCUCUGAAGAAUCCUGAUUUGAUGAAAAUACCCUUUUCAACAGGGUAAUACACUACUGUUCAAACAAAUUUAACAGUUUCAAUUCAUUGGUUCUUUACAAAUGAGAAAAAGGGGAAAUAUUUGAAGACGGAGGCAGGAAAAUCACUUUGAUCCAGGCAGCCCAGACCAGCCUGGUAGCAUAGCAAGACCUCAUCUUGAAACAAACAGUUCUUUUCUGAACGAUCUCCACAGAGCACCUACAUUCUCCAGACUUUUGCCUUCCUGAGCCUGCAGAUAGCCCUCCAAAGUAUGUUUUGUAUUGUAGGAUAUGAAACUACCCCUGGAAUGGAAUAUUAGCUAAUACACAGCAGCAAGUGGAACCCACCUUUCAGAGUCAGAGGGUUAUGGGAACUUGACCUUUCAAUGUCAGCAAUUCUCUGCAUAGUUCUAAACAAAACUAGUUCAUCUGCAUAACCAUGUUGUGCAUUUCAGUGAACACCAUCGGAGAAAAGAAGAUGACGUCAUUGAAAAAGAGUUGAGGGAUAUGGGGAAUACAGGGAAGACACAAGUGUCAACAAAACCCCAAGAACUGAAACCUAAGCGAGAAGAGCAAUGAGAGCGGCGCACCAACUCUUAGACGGAGGGACGAUGUUUGGAGUGUCAAACAGAGACAUGAACACUCACUCCAGUGUGUUCCACCACGACAUGCCACCCUCACCAGAUACCCAAACCUAUGGACCACCCACUCUUGAACUUCCAGAACCAUGAGUCAACAUAAGCCUUUGUUCGCUUCUGAAGUAGUUUGCAUGAGAUAUCUCUUAUAGUCUCUGGCCUUUGAAUACUUGGUCCCCAGUUGGUGGCACUGUUUGAGAAGGCUUAAAAGGUACAGCCUUGAUGAAGAAUCUGUCAAGCUUGAAGCAGCUUGAAGGUUUAAAAGCCACAUGCCAGUCCCAGUUCUCUCUCUUCCUGUGCUCAUGGUUCAAGAUGUGAGCGCUCAGCGUCUGCUCCAGCCACCAUGCCUGCUGCUUGCUGCCAUGCUUUCUGCUAUGAUGAACUCUUACCCCCUGGAACCCUGAGUGUAAUAAACCCUUCCUUCUGUAA